GCCGCGGUGUCGGCCUGAAGCGUGGAAUCGCUGGGAGCCGGAGGCUAGGCAACCGAGCGGCAGGGAGCCUGCGGAGUCCUGAGCGCGUGGGCGGCAAAGGAGGUGAAAGCUGCGUGACCCGGCGAGCAACGCGCGGUUGGGCGGAAAGAGCCGAGCGAGCUCGGAAGGAUCGUUGCUAGGGCCGAAGGUGGAAGCAGGAAGACUUACAUUUAGGAGAUAGCUUUCUACAGUAUGUCACAGUGACAGUGUUGCUCCUAAAUUGGAAGCUUUCCAUAAAGUACACACACCAGCCCCACCCACACCAUUGAGCUAGCAGCCAUGGAGCUACAGUCCAAAAGGCUAGACCAGGAACCCUGGGAGCCAGGAGGACACGGGAAGGGAGAGGCUGAAGAUGGAGAACCUGCCUCAGCUUAUCUGAUCCAGGCCACAGAGCUCAUCAGUCAAGUGCUGCGGAAAGAGAAGGCUGGCACCUAUGCUGCUACGCUCAGGACUACCAAGAAGGGUUGCACAUCCCUUUCCAGGGCA